rnacentral:rRNA from 1 species
GAUGAACGCUGGCGGAAUGCUUUACACAUGCAAGUCGAACGGCAGCACGGGGGCAACCUGGUGGCGAGUGGCGAACGGGUGAGUAAUACAUCGGAACGUGCCCAAUCGUGGGGGAUAACGUAGCGAAAGUUACGCUAAUACCGCAUACGAUCUACGGAUGAAAGCGGGGGAUCGCAAGACCUCGCGCGAGUGGAGCGGCUGAUGUCAGAUUAGGUAGUUGGUGGGGUAAAGGCUCACCAAGCCAACGAUCUGUAGCUGGUCUGAGAGGACGACCAGCCACACUGGAACUGAGACACGGUCCAGACUCCUACGGGAGGCAGCAGUGGGGAAUUUUGGACAAUGGGCGCAAGCCUGAUCCAGCCAUUCCGCGUGCAGGAUGAAGGCCUUCGGGUUGUAAACUGCUUUUGUACGGAACGAAACGGCGAGCUCUAAUACAGUUUGCUAAUGACGGUACCGUAAGAAUAAGCACCGGCUAACUACGUGCCAGCAGCCGCGGUAAA